UAACCUGCCCAAGAGAUCGGGAUAACACCUGGAAACAGAUGCUAAUACCGGAUAACAACAGAUGAUGCCUAUCAACUGUUUAAAAGAUGGUUCUGCUAUCACUCUUGGAUGGACCUGCGGUGCAUUAGCUAGUUGGUAGGGUAACGGCCUACCAAGGCGAUGAUGCAUAGCCGAGUUGAGAGACUGAUAGGCCACAUUGGGACUGAGACACGGCCCAAACUCCUACGGGAGGCAGCAGGU
rnacentral:rRNA from 1 species